rnacentral:rRNA from 1 species
AGAUUGAACGCUGGCGGCAUGCCUUACACAUGCAAGUCGAACGGCAGCACGGGAGCAAUCCGUGGUGGCGAGUGGCGAACGGGUGACGUAAUAUAUCGGAACGUGACCCAGUCGUGGGGAUAACGCAGCGAAAGCUAGUGACUAAUACCGCAUACGAUCUAUGGAUGAAAGCGGGGGAUCGCAAGACCUCGCGCGAUGGAGCGGCCGAUAUCGGAUUAGCUAGUUGGUGGGUAAAAGCCUACAAGGCGACGAUCUGUAGCUGGUCUGAGAGGACCGACCAGCCACACUGGAACUGAGACACGGUACCAGACCUCCGUACGGGAGGCAGCAGUGGGAAUUUUGGACAGUGGGCGACGAAGCCUAGAGUACCGAGCUAAGUCGCCGCGU